UUUGUUUGGUUUAAAAUACCUCAUGUAAGGAAAAACUACUUCAAGAUGAGAGAGAAUAUUACCAUUAUAAGGUGGAAAAUAGAGCAAAACUCCAGGAAAAAGCGUGUUAUGUUUUGUUAAAUAUUUUAUUUCUACUGUAAAGCAAAUUGUUGUCACUUUAGUAUGUAUGGUUUGUUAAUGGCUUUCAGUUAAAGAUAUAUAAUUUAUUGUAGUUUUUUUUUCUCUUUUUCUCCCUGAGAUAUGCACUGAUUACUGAUUAGAAGUCGUUUUUAAGAACAACCAAUUGUCUAAAUUAUUUAGUGGCAUCAAUAUGCAUGUGCCAAAUAAAAAAAAUCUAAAACCAAACUUCUGAAUUUUUUUUUACUUGUUGCUUAAAUCAAAGAUGAGUUACUGAAGUGCAUUUACUCUCAAUAUCAUAUCCCGGGGGUUUUUUCUAUACAUAUGAAUGAAGUGUUUCUUAAUUAUUUACAGAAUCAGAAUUUGAUUUAUAAUUUUUUAAUUAUCUUCAAGUUGAAGUAUGUGCUGUCUUUACCCUGUAGAAAAUUUUGGAAAAAUAAUAAUUUCCUGAGAAAAUAUGAAUUUACUAAUCAGAGGAAAUUCUGGCUGAAAGUGAACAAAUAUGAAGUUUGGUUUUUACUACACUGAUUUGACUGAAACAUAACAGGGCUUCUAAUCAGUUUUGGAUAAGGAAAGGGGAAAGAUACGUGGCCCAGAGAAUUGGAGAAAAUGCUCUAAUUUGAAUUGAAAGCCUGUGUGAAAGAAACUGUUUGUUGUCUAUAUAUAAUGAAAGCAAGGGAUGCCUACUCUGAAAUCUUCCAUUUAUGAAAUGUACAGACAUGCUGUGAUAACUUGAGGUGCAAUUUAUUUGUUUGAAAGGGGAAGUCUAUUGUUGUAGGAUUUUAUUUCUGAGUCUUGUGCUAAUUAAGAUUUCAAAAAUUUCUUGCUAUGUUCUAGAAAUCUGAACAUGUGAAAAUGAAUAUAUAGCUAUUGUGAAAUGUUUCAAUAGAAUGAGUUGGCCAAAAACAUAGGAGAGAUUUUUUUUUAAUUUAGUAUAGCUAAUGGAAUGGUGUGAUUUGUGAAGUUCAGUGGAUCGAGGUAUUAUAGCAAAUGCAUUAUAAUCAUCUUAAACAGAGUAAACAAAAACAACUUAUUGCAGAAUAAAGUAUGGGCUGAAAAU
rnacentral:sRNA from 1 species